rnacentral:rRNA from 1 species
GAUGAACGCUAGCGGCAGGCCUAACACAUGCAAGUCGAGGGAGAAGCCCUUUCGGGGGCAGACACCGGCGCACGGGUGCGUAACGCGUAUGCAACCUACCUUUCACAGGGGGAUAGCCCGAAGAAAUUUGGAUUAAUACCCCAUAAUAUUAUUGGAUGGCAUCAUUUGAUAAUUAAAACUGCGGUGGUGAAAGAUGGGCAUGCGUCCUAUUAGCUAGUUGGAGUGGUAACGGCACCCCAAGGCUACGAUAGGUAGGGGUCCUGAGAGGGAGAUCCCCCACACUGGUACUGAGACAGGGACCAGACUCCUACGGGAGGCAGCAGUGAGGAAUAUUGGGCAAUGGUCGGAAGACUGAACCAGCCAUGCCGCGUGCAGGAAGAAUGCCUUAUGGGUUGUAAACUGCUUUUAUAUGGGAAGAAUAAGGUGUACGUGUACAUUGAUGACGGUACCAUAUGAAUAAGCAUCGGCUAACUCCGUG